GUGCCAGCAGCCGCGGUAAUACGAAGGGGGCUAGCGUUGUUCGGAAUUACUGGGCGUAAAGCGCUCGUAGGCGGCCUUGUAAGUUGGGGGUGAAAUCCCGGGGCUCAACCCCGGAACUGCCUCCAAAACUACAAAGCUAGAGGAUGCGAGAGGAUAGUGGAAUUCCGAGUGUAGAGGUGAAAUUCGUAGAUAUUCGGAAGAACACCAGUGGCGAAGGCGACUGUCUGGCGCAUAUCUGACGCUGAGGUGCGAAAGCGUGGGGAGCAAACAGGAUUAGAAACCCUUGUAGUC
rnacentral:rRNA from 1 species